UAGCAAUACACAGUGGCGAACGGGUGAGUAAUGAAUCGCUAAUGUACCCCGGACUCUGGGAUAGCUACCCGAAAGGGUAGGUAAUACCAGAUGAGACCACGAUCAGGCAUCUGAUUGUGCUCAAAGGUCCGCCGGUCUGGGAGCAGGCGAUUUCGUAUCAGCUUGUUGGUGAGGUAAUGGCUCACCAAGGCGACGACGCGUAGCCGGACUGAGAGGUUGGCCGGCCACAUUGGGACUGAGACACUGCCCAGACUCCUACGGGGGGCUGCAGUAACGAAUCUUCCGCAAUGCACGAAAGUGUGACGGAGCGACGCCGCGUGUAGGACGAAGCCCUUCGGG
rnacentral:rRNA from 1 species